rnacentral:rRNA from 1 species
CGCCUCUUGUUACACUAAUAUAAGAGGUCGUACCUGCCCAAUGAUAAAGAUUUAAUGGCCGCGGUAUUCUGACCGUGCAAAGGUAGCGUAAUCACUUGUCCUUUAAAUGAGGACCCGUAUGAAUGGUUUGACGAGGGCUUAACUGUCUCCUCUCCCUAAUCAAUGAAAUUGAUCUCUCCGUGCAAAAGCGGAGAUUAACCUAUAAGACGAGAAGACCCUGUGGAGCUUUAGAUAACCUUAUCAACUAUGCCAAGAAACCCUAUUAAAGAACCAAAGCUAAUAGUCUGAGUAAGGUAUCUUCAGUUGGGGCGACUGCGGGGAAUAAAAAUCCCCCGCGAAGACUAAGAACACAACAUUCUUAAAACCUAGAAAUGCCUUUCAAAUUAAUAGAACUUCUAACUUUUACUGAUCCAACCCCUUGAUCAACGAACCAAGUUACCCCAGGGAUAACAGCGCAAUCCUCUUUCAGAGUUCUUAUCGACAAGAGGGUUUACGACCUCGAUGUUGGAUCAGGACAUCCUAAUGGUGCAGCCGCUAUUAAGGGUUCGUUUGUUCAACGACUAAAGUCCU